CAUCGCCUCUUGAAUAAGCAUAAGAGGUCCAGCCUGCCCAGUGACCAUGUUCAACGGCCGCGGUAUCCUAACCGUGCGAAGGUAGCGUAAUCACUUGUUCUUUAAAUAAGGACUAGUAUGAACGGCAUCACGAAGGUUACACUGUCUCCUCUUUCUAAUCAGUGAAACUAAUCUCCUCGUGAAGAAACGAGGAUAAACAUAUAAGACGAGAAGACCCUAUGGAGCUUCAAACUAUAAAGCACCUGCCCCAGUAUUACUUAAUUCCAGAAAACCACACCUACCCAGGCAAGAUGACCUUUAGUUUUAGGUUGGGGUGACCGCGGAGCAAAAAAAAACCUCCACAUUGAAAGGAGCCAACUCCUUAGCCAAGAGCCACACCUCUAAGCACCAACAAAAAGACAUCAAUUGACCCAAUAUUUUUGAUCAACGAACCAAGUUACCCUAGGGAUAACAGCGCAAUCCACUUCAAGAGCCCCUAUCGACAAGUGGGUUUACGACCUCGAUGUUGGAUCAGGGUAUCCAAGUGGUGCAGCCGCUACUAAAGGUUCGUUUGUUCAACGAUUAAAACCCUACGUGAUCUGAGUUCAGACCGGA
rnacentral:rRNA from 1 species